rnacentral:rRNA from 1 species
GACGAACGCUGGCGGCACGCCUAACACAUGCAAGUCGAACGGACUUACAAGAGCUUGCUUUUUUAAGUUAGUGGCGGACGGGUGAGUAACACGUGAGCAACCUGCCUCUGAGAGGGGGAUAGCUUCUGGAAACGGAUGGUAAUACCCCAUAAAAUAUAAAUAUCGCAUGAUAGAUAUAUCAAAGAAAUUCGCUCAGAGAUGGGCUCGCGUCUGAUUAGAUAGUUGGUGAGGUAACGGCUCACCAAGUCGACGAUCAGUAGCCGGACUGAGAGGUUGAACGGCCACAUUGGGACUGAGGCACGGCCCAGACUCCUACGGGAGGCAGCAGUGGGGAAUAUUGCACAAUGGAGGGAACUCUGAUGCAGCGAUGCCGCGUGGAGGAAGAAGGUUUUCGGAUUGUAAACUCCUUUUAUCAGGGACGAUAAUGACGGUACCUGAAGAAAAAGCGCCGGCUAACUACGUG